ACUAGAUCGUUCAGAGUUUGAUCCUGGCUCAGGAUGAACGCUGGCGGCGUGCCUAACACAUGCAAGUCGAGCGGGAAAUUUCCGAUCAAAGCUUCGGCAGAGAGACGAGAUGGAGAGCGGCGGACGGGUGAGUAACGCGUAGGCAACCUGCCCCAUACACAGGGAUAGCCUCGGGAAACCGGGAUUAAAACCUGAUGACACCGCGCUGUCACAUGACAAAGCGGUCAAAGAUUUAUCGGUAUGGGAUGGGCCUGCGUCUGAUUAGCUGGUUGGUGGGGUAACGGCCUACCAAGGCGACGAUCAGUAGCCGACCUGAGAGGGUAAUCGGCCACAUUGGAACUGAGACACGGUCCAA
rnacentral:rRNA from 1 species